GUUGAGGUCUAUCCCAAUGGGUCUUUUUCUGUAGACCUACAUCGUUGGAAACACCUCAGAAUAAAUAGGUAGCUUCCUUUACUCACAGAACUAUGUGUUAAAUCUGUGGGAAGCAACUACAAGACAGCU
ensembl:snoRNA small nucleolar RNA SNORA18